rnacentral:rRNA from 1 species
UACGAAGGGGGCUAGCGUUGCUCGGAAUCACUGGGCGUAAAGCGCACGUAGGCGGAUUGUUAAGUCAGGGGUGAAAUCCUGGAGCUCAACUCCAGAACUGCCUCCGAUACUGAAUGUCUUCGAGUCCGGGAGAGGUGAGUGGAACUGCGAGUGUAGAGGUGAAAUUCGUAGAUAUUCGCAAGAACACCAGUGGCGAAGGCGGCUCACUGGCCCGGUACUGACGCUGAGGUGCGAAAGCGUGGGGAGCAAACAGG